rnacentral:rRNA from 1 species
GUAGGUGGCAAGCGUUGUCCGGAAUUAUUGGGCGUAAAGCGCGCGCAGGCGGUUCUUUAAGUCUGAUGUGAAAGCCCACGGCUCGACCGUGGAGGGUCAUUGGAAACUGGAGAACUUGAGUACAGAAGAGGAAAGCGGAAUUCCACGUGUAGCGGUGAAAUGCGUAGAGAUGUGGAGGAACACCAGUGGCGAAGGCGGCUUCUGGUCUGUAACUGACGCUGAGGCGCGAAAGCGUGGGGAGCAAACAGGGAUUAGAUACCCUGGUAGUCCACGCCGUAAACGAUGAGUGCUAAGUGUUAGGGGGGUUUCCGCCCCCUUAGUGCUGCAGCUAACGCAUUAAGCACUCCGCCUGGGGAGUACGGCCGCAAGGCUG